rnacentral:lncRNA from 1 species
UAAAACUGAGAAAUUGACUCGGAAAGAAUUUUUUUGGAAGCUCCAUUGCGAGAUUCAAACCUAACCAUUAAAGGAGAAGCAGUGGGAACGACAGAACCUAUGACUGGAUAGGAUUUUCUUGAAAAGAAUCCCAAUACUUCAUUGGUGGGAUGGCGGAACAAACCAAAAAAAUUGCCUUAUUUGGUAAUUCAUAACCUUAUCAAAUAAGACAGGAAAGAGUAAAUAUUA